CUGCCCUAAGCUCUUCUCAAAUGAUCCACUUUGAAUGUGGCAGCUGCUUCCUGCAGGGUUGAUGCGGCGUGUUUGACUAAUGGGCUUCAGAUGAGACUGGCUGAGAACAGAUGGGGGAGGGGGGCUUCGGGGCCAGGAAGUCCACCAGAGGAUGGGAAACUGGGGUGUCAGGCCGAGAGGGACAUCCUUGAAGGGAAGUAUCUCGUAGCCACAUGCAGAAUGGCUUAGAGGCUGGAGACAGGAAGUUAGGAGACACUAAUUACUGAGACAGAAAGAUAAUGUUUUGCAGCUAUCAGAUUGGCAAACCUCCUGUAUUCUACUAGCACACUGUGUGGACAAGGACACGGAGAAGCAGCACCCUCAGACAGGUUAAAAUUGAAAACAGAACCAGGCGCUGUGGUGUGGCAGGUGAAGUCGCUGCCUGUGAUGCCGCUUCCCAUAUGGGCACCGGUUCACGUCCUGGCUGCUCCACUUCUGAUCCAGCUCCCUGCUAACAGCCUGGGAAAAGCAGCAAAAGAUGGUCCAAGUGUUUGGGCCACUGCCACUCCUGUGGGAGACCUGGAGGAAGCUCCUGGCGCCUGGCUUCAGGCUGGCCCAGCCCACGCUGUCGCAGCCAUCUCGGGAGUGAACCAGCAUAUGGAAGAUCUGUGUGUGUGUGUGUGUCUCCCUCUAACUCUUUCAAAUAAGUAAAUAAAUCUUUUGUUGUUGUU